rnacentral:lncRNA from 1 species
UCACAGAUUUGGAAAUCAAAUUUACUAUUUAAGAAAUUGGUGUAGCAAGUAAUCAGAUUAUUUUCCAUUGCAUGUCUUUGGUUGGGAAUGUUGUGCUCUAUCCAAUCUUCAGCUCAAAGAAAAUUAUUACCUUUUCAAACUAUGCCCUGCGGUUGAAGCCUUUAAAACCUGAGUAUUAUCCCCUUUAUAUUGUUGUUUCAAGGCCUGACAGUGAUAUUGCACAUGUUGUCUGCUUUCUUGGUUUAUUAACUGUUGCAAAACUUCAUUAAAUCUGUAACCUUUCCUUCCUUACUUUCUUGACACCCUCUUAUGUCGACUCUAAUAAUUCAAAGCUACUCCUUACACUGACCAAGCUAAUAAUGUCAAUGAUUGAUGCUCUGUUUCACAUUAACUGCAACACUAUGUGAAUAGCAAGAAUUAUUUCAUACAACAAAAACCGUGAUGGAGACAAUAACAUAAACCUCACCAACACAGAGAACAAAACUGAGCUGAAAAAUAAAUUAUGUCAAAAGAAAGAAAAAGAAAAUGACAAACUGAUAUGGAAUUCCUAAGAGAGAGAACCUCUAGAAUUUUCUUGCUUUAAACCCCUUGUGGGACAAAGCAUUCUAUCUUAGCAACACAAUCUUGUGAAAAAUAAAAUUCUAUAAAACAUGGCAUGGAGACCGUAUAAAAAUCUUACAUUGAUUUCUUUGUUUGGGUUGCCAACUGAAAACAAGUUGUUAUUCACUUGCAACCUG